GAUGAACGCUGGCGGCGUGCCUAAUACAUGCCAGUCGAGCGAACAGACGAGGAGCUUGCUCCUCUGACGUUAGCGGCGGACGGGUGAGUAACACGUGGAUAACCUACCUAUAAGACUGGGAUAACUUCGGGAAACCGGAGCUAAUACCGGAUAAUAUAUUGAACCGCAUGGUUCAAUAGUGAAAGACGGUUUUGCUGUCACUUAUAGAUGGAUCCGCGCCGCAUUAGCUAGUUGGUAAGGUAACGGCUUACAAGGCAACGAUGCGUAGCCGACCUGAGAGGGUGAUCGGCCACACUGGAACUGAGACACGGUCCAGACUCCUACGGGAGGCAGCAGUAGGGAAUCUUCCGCAAUGGGCGAAAGCCUGACGGAGCAACGCCGCGUGAGUGAUGAAGGUCUUCGGAUCGUAAAACUCUGUUAUUAGGGAAGAACAAAUGUGUAAGUAACUAUGCACGUCUUGACGGUACCUAAUCAGAAAGCCACGGCUAACUACGUG
rnacentral:rRNA from 1 species